rfam:Subdoligranulum sp. 4_3_54A2FAA genomic scaffold supercont1.5, whole genome shotgun sequence.
AGCCGAAACAGCCCUGCGGGGCUGUCGUGCGGGGGCUGACCGCCCCGUGCCUGAUGAUGGCAGGUCAAG